CAAUUAUUUGCACUGCGAGUAGGAGAUCAUCCUGCUUGUAUUUGGAGCGUCUCUCUUUAAAACCAUAUGAAUUAUUUCAAACGUAUCUUAAAUGAACCAUAUGAACAUAUAAUAUAACAAAUUUCCAAGACUUUUCAAAAGCUUUUGGGAUUUCAUUUUUUUCCGUAACUUUUUAAGACUUCUUCUAGGUCUUCCAUGACCGUACAAACCCUGUUUGAUAUAGUUCCAACCACCGACCAGAAGAAAGAGGUAUAGGAGACAAAGGCACCAUAUUUGUGCUGUUUACAUUUGAAUAAUUAGGUGUGGAUAAUUUAUUGUUUUUAAAGGGAUUGUGAAUUAUGAUUAUGAUUACGUUGAUUAUGUUUGGGUUGGGGAAAUUCUGUAAGCAUUAGUGUGUGUAUGUGUUAUACCUGUAGAUGGUCUGGGCUAACAGUCACGUGGGUAUACAAGAAGACUGUGAGAAACUGAGAAUAACUGGUCGUGAUGGUGAAUGGUUCCUAGAUUAUUAAAAAAAAUUAAGCUUUGUUUGAAACCUUAUCCAUGACUUCUGAUUUCAAAGGAUAUUCUUUAAUGGGCUUUAGGAGAGUUUUCUCGUCCGAUGGUGGAAUGAAGCUACAAGGAAAGUCAAAUAGUUCUGUCAAAAGUUUAAAAAAGUAGUAAUGUUCUCCAGAUCACAUUUUUCUUUGCUGGUAGUAAGCCUAAUCAUUCCAGAAAUGUUUUUACUCAUUCAACUCAAGCACACACACUCCCCGACAUGCGCACUCCUCUGGUAUUCUCGGUCUCUCACACAAACAUGUCCCGCCCUCUCCCCUCUUGUCAGCUCUAUUGGGUUUAGAUCUUUAGCUUUAGACAGAUGCUUUCUCUCUAACAUCUAACUAUGUCAUAGGCCCGCAUGCUUGGAGCUUGUUGUUUAUAUACACAACAGGCUCAUAUGCGGUGGAUUCACACAGAUGUCCUGUGGCUAUAUGCAGUCAACACUCAUACACAGACUCACAGGAAGCAACUGAAAGUGUGCAUGUGAAGGUAACAACUUCAUAAAGAGAGUGUAUCAUCGCUUAACAGAAAAGCGGGGCGAGCCUGCUGACAUCAGACAUGUAGCAGCCUGGGUUCAGCGCACCCUCUCUACUCCAUGCGCCACCGUCGACCCUCCAGUUUAUAUUGGAUUAACCCUGGCAACUUAGCCAGGUACAUGAGAAUACACUCAAACCGUAGAUGAAAGGUAGACUGGCCAACAACAAGACAGAGGGAUGGAUGUUUAUGUAGUGUGGUGGAGUUUUUCAGACUUUGGCAGAACUUUGGCAGGAUCUCCCGUUCCCGCUGGGCCGCCGUUCCCCGACUCGGUCCCCCGACCCCGACUCGGCCAGUACCAACCCCGACUCGGCCAGUCCCCGCUCCGAGACUCUCAGCCCCGACCCCGACUCGGCCAGUCCCCGCUCCGAGACUCAUGACCCCAACGCCCCCAGUCCCCCCCUUGAGACUCAUGACCCCGACGCCCCCAGUCCCCACCCCGAGACUCAUGACCCCGACGCCCCCAGUCCCCGUUCCGAGACUCAUGACCCCUCCCUCCCAUCC
ensembl:lncRNA